AAACAUGUCUUUUUGAAUUAUAUUUAAAGUCUGACCUGCCCACUGAAUAAUUUUAAAUGGCCGCAGUAUUUUGACUGUGCAAAGGUAGCAUAAUCAUUAGUCUUUUAAUUGAAGGCUGGUAUGAACGGUUGGACGAAGUAUAAGCUGUUUCAUAUAAAUUUAUAGUAGAAUUUUAUAUUUUAGUUAAAAAGCUAAAAUUUUAUUAAAAGACGAGAAGACCCUAUAAAUCUUUAUAGUUAAUACUAACUAAAUUUUUUUGAUUUAUUUUAUUUUUUUAGUAUUAAUUAUUUUGUUGGGGUGAUGUUAAAAUUUAAUGAACUUUUAAUUUUUUAAAAACAUUAAUUUAUGAAUUAUUGAUCCAUUAAUAAUGAUUAUAAGAUUAAGUUACUUUAGGGAUAACAGCGUAAUUUUUUUUGAGAGUUCAUAUCGACAAAAAAGUUUGCGACCUCGAUGUUGGAUUAAGGUAUAAUUUUGGGUGUAGCCGUUCAAAAAUUAAGUCUGUUCGACUUUUAAAUCCUUACAUGAUC
rnacentral:rRNA from 1 species